rnacentral:rRNA from 1 species
CAGCAGCCGCGGGAAUACGAAGGGGGCUAGCGUUGCUCGGAAUGACUGGGCGUAAAGGGCGCGUAGGCGGUUUCUACAGUUGGAUGUGAAAUUCCUGGGCUUAACCUGGGGGCUGCAUUCAAUACGUGCAGGCUUGAGUGGGGAAGAGGGUCGUGGAAUUCCCAGUGUAGAGGUGAAAUUCGUAGAUAUUCGGAAGAACACCAGUGGCGAAGGAGGCUCACUGGCUCAUUCUAGACGCUGAGGUGCGAAAGCGUGGGGAGCAAACAGGAUUAGAUACCCGUGUAGUCCCUGUCUCUUAUAC